AAAUCAAAAUACAAUGCAUUGUUACGAAUAUAGACAAGAUGAAAACCACAUUAGGUACACGAAGAUGUUACCAUGAAUAGAAGAAAUAAGUUAACCCAUUUCUGACGAAAACAGCCAAACAAGAAGAAAACAGAACUGAUGAUGAUUUCAUUCACUUGUGCCAUGUUUGCUAAGGACCUGUGAAAAAGAAUUUGUAAUGAUCAAAGAAGAAAACAACCAGUAAAUAUAUUCCUCUGAGGUAGGAAAACAAAGCAACAACUGAAAGGGUGCAACGAGAGACUGUUUCCUGAAGUUAUUUCUUUGAUUGAUUAGAAAUCAUUUACAAACAGUAAAACUAAUUUGCUUGAAAAUAUAUAAAUAUUUA